rnacentral:rRNA from 1 species
GAUGAACGCUGGCGGCGUGCCUAAUACAUGCAAGUCGAGCGAACAGACGAGGAGCUUGCUCCUCUGACGUUAGCGGCGGACGGGUGAGUAACACGUGGAUAACCUACCUAUAAGACUGGGAUAACUUCGGGAAACCGGAGCUAGUACCGGAUAAUAUAUUGAACCGCAUGGUUCAAUAGUGAAAGACGGUUUUGCUGUCACUUAUAGAUGGAUCCGCGCCGCAUUAGCUAGUUGGUAAGGUAACGGCUUACCAAGGCAACGAUGCGUAGCCGACCUGAGAGGGUGAUCGGCGACACUGGAACUGAGACACGGUCCAGACUCCUACGGGAGGCAGCAGUAGGGAAUCUUCCGCAAUGGGCGAAAGCUUGACGGAGCAACGCCGCGUGAGUGAUGACGGUGUUCGGAUCGUAAAACUCUGUUAUUAGGGAAGAACAAAUGUGUAAGUAACUAUGCACGUCUUGACGGUACCUAAUCAGAAAGCCACGGCUAACUACGUG